rnacentral:rRNA from 1 species
UACGUAGGGGGCAAGCGUUGUCCGGAAUCAUUGGGCGUAAAGAGCGUGUAGGCGGUUCGGUAAGUCGGCUGUGAAAGUCCAGGGCUCAACCCUGGGAUGCCGGUCGAUACUGCCGGACUAGAGUUCGGAAGAGGCGAGUGGAAUUCCGAGUGUAGAGGUGAAAUUCGUAGAUAUUCGGAGGAACACCAGUGGCGAAGGCGGCUCACUGGUCCAGUACUGACGCUGAGGUGCGAAAGCGUGGGGAGCAAACAGG